CGGCUUUCAGCUGACUCUAAAAAUACCUGCUAAGUGAUAUCUUAUAUCGGAGUGCAAGCAUAAAUCGGGCGAUCUCGGACUGCGGCCUCGUUUUAAACACUACCAGAUUGUUCGAUGGCAACUGCAGUGCAAGAAAAUUACCCAACUCUGAUCAUUUAUGGAGUUUGCUUUAUGGUCUGCCUGCAUGUGGCAGCUCUUGGAUUUUGGGUUUUCAAAGUAUUUACUACUCCAGAUAAAGAACAAACUUUAAAAGGUCAAAAGGGUCAUUGAGAGGAUACACAGCAGAGAAUGUACAGGAAUGUUGAUUCUGCGACUGGACUUUUGGAUCAAGGAAAAAAGAUUGGUGUUUGGAAAUCUUAGUUUGUACAAGUUGGUUCUCCUAAAUUGGACAACACAUUUUCAUGGUUGGAAUGUUUUUGUGCCUUUGAUGCAACAAAGGAUGAGAAAAGAAGAUGAAAACAAGGGCUGUUCAGACCAGUGUAAAAAGAGAUUCUAUCAAGUCCUGUGCUGAGCACAAGUGUUGAAGUUAUACUUGAGCUGUGAGCAGGCUCCUUCAAGAGCUGUGCGGAGCACAAGUAUUGAAGCUUUAAAUUAAGUAGUAAUUAGUGAGGCACUAACAACAUGUCAGCACAGUUUGCUUGCCUGUUCUUCUUUAAAAGCUUCCAUGCUUGUGCUGUAGUUUCUGUGGUAACCUGCUAGAAGCUUAUUCAAAUUUUAAGAUGUGCUAUAAUUUGUUUGUUUUAGAGAUUGGAUAUUUUAAUAAUUGUAUUUUUUAUGCACAGCUCAGACUUGUGGUAAGCACCAAGCACUUACAAAUGAAGUAUUUAAGUACUUGUCAACCAGACAACUUACCCUUUUGAGAGAAGAUGCUAUUUUAAAGUCAAAGUUCUCACUUCAGGCUCUGACUCAAAGUUGAAAAAUUUUCAUGAGCCAUUUAUUCCCAAGAUCUCAACUAGUAAUUUUGCCUGCCAUACAAUUCUAAUGAUGGUAGUUGUAAUUGAGAUUUUUCUUACUCUCAUCACUUGUUUGCUUGAUAUUUAAGGAGAAUGUCUGUCGUGGCCAACUAUGGGAGUUAAACAGUUAAAGCCAUAAUUUCCAAGUGAAUCAUGUGAUAGCAAUGUUAGUUAAGUUGUGGUAACAUUGAUUCAACGAUGAAGAUUCAAGAGCAUUUGUUUUGCAUGUUAACAACGCAUCCUAAUUUGUUUCACCCACUGCUUCUGUUGCUUGUACACUCUAUGUUUGAAGUAGUUUUGUGGUAUGUUAAAUAGUAUCAAUUUAAUGGCCCUUGCUUUUGUGGAGUGGUGGCAGUUGCAGAGAAAUCAACUAGGAGCAAUGUGUCAACUCUUUCCUAGGACAAAAAAAUGGUCAGUAUAGAGAAGUAGAGUUUCUUUGGAUUACCCAAACUCUUUCAAAAGGAUUGAAAUUACAACAGAAUGCAUUAAUGAUUCAACAGAUUAAAUCUAUUUUGGUAACAGAGACUUUCUUCAAAUUAGUUUCUGUUCUUCUCUAAUGGAGGGAAGUCCAGAAAAGAACUCUUAAUUUCUGUUACCUUGGUGGCAGUGAAUUAAGUUUAAUAUUCACUCAGAAAUUCUCAGGGGUAACCUGCAUGUGAGUUCUUUUCACAAUUUCAGUACAUAACAUGGGAAAGUGGGGAGGAAACUGCAUGAAGUUAUUUGCUGGAGGGUGUUAUUCCAGUACCAAAACCAACUUGCUGGUAAAUGAAAGACAGCUAAAGGGGGUGUAGUGAAUGUAAUGAUAAAUAUCUCAAAUUUUAUUUACAUAACCAGCGGAAUCUGAAAUACAUGUAAAAAGGAUGUAAGUAACAGUAAUUCACAAUGACAAACAAGUUAAAUAAAAAUUGA